rnacentral:rRNA from 1 species
CUCACACUGGCCGGUCGUUUUACAGCCUAACACAUGCAAGUCGAGCGGAUGACGGGAGCUUGCUCCUUGAUUCAGCGGCGGACGGGUGAGUAAUAGCCUAGGAAUCUGCCUGGUAGUGGGGGACAACGUUCGAAAGGAACGCUAAUACCGCAUACGUCCUACGGGAAGAAAGCAAGGGGACCUUCGGGCCUUGCGCUAUCAGAUGAGCCUAGGUCGGAUUAGCUAUGUUGGUGGGGUAAUGGCUCACCAAGGCGACGAUCCGUAACUGGUCUGAGAGGAUGAUCAGUCACACUGGAACUGAGACACAGGUCCAGACUCCUACGGGAGGCAGCAGUUGGGGAAUAUUGGACAAUGGGCGAAAGCCUGAUCCAGACAUGCCGAGUGUGUAGAAGAAGGUCUUCGGAUUGUAAAGCACUUUUAACGUUGGGAGGAAGGGCAGUAAGCUAAUACCUUGCUGUAUUGACGUUACCGACAGACAUAAGCACCGGCUAACUCUAGUGCCAGCAGCCGAGGUAAUACAGAAGGGUGCAAGCGUUACAUCGGAAAUUACAGGGGCGUAAGCGC